rnacentral:lncRNA from 1 species
UUAAUUAAUAUAUAUAUUUAGGCAUUCGGCUCUUUCAACCGACCAGUCAUUAUAUAUUUCAUUUAUUCAGCUCUUUCAGCCGACCAGUUAUUGUGUACUUCUUCUAUUCGGCUCUUCUGCCGACAUUGAUCCCUGCACAGUUCAUACAUUCGGCUCAUCCAGCCGAACCGAUUCUACAGUAAAGGUUUUUUAACUCGGCUGAUCCGAUCCCUUGUAAGCCAAAUCGCUUGAUCUGUCGAAGGACGCAAACUUCGAGGGUCAUUAUCCGCAGCCGUUCCUCACCCCGACGCGCUCCCCGAGGAGGAUCUUUGACUGGGUCAAGGGUCGGAAAAUUCGGCUACCAACAAUUUUUUGCACGCCCGAUGAGACACCAUUUAAGGUAAUUUUAUUUUUUAUUAAGAUAUAAUAGCUGACGAAAAUGCUAUGAACCUCCGGAAUAGAGCGAUUCCCAGGCCUUCAGGGAAUGACCAAGCUAGUAGCGCCGAAAAUGAGAAUCAGGCAGUACUACCUGUUGGAGGAGAGACUAGUGAACAGUCGGCUCAUCAAGAGCGGAGUCUAACUCAGGCACUCGGCCAGAUGACCCGAGUCCUGCAAACUGUAGAUCAACCAUCAAAGUGCCGCUCGACUAGACGCGGUGCUGGCGGCCAUCACGGCCUAUAAUAAAAAUAUUGUUCGAAUUAGACAGUUAUUUACUCAAAACGAGCAACCUUACGGGGGGCAACAAGGACCCCUAACUGCACCGGCGCAACAAAAUCCCGUCACGCUAGCGGUCUCACAGGUGCAACUGCAAAUGGCACCUUUCCAGGUUGCUUACAGGCCGACGAAUAUAAACGCCGGCUCUCAGUCGGAGAUUGCAUCGGGUUUACCUCCUUUACCAGCUUAUCAGUCCCAAAAUGCAGGGAUUAGGGCUGGGGGCAGGCCCUUAAUGAUAUGCAAGGAGCGAAUCCUGCAAAACAGAAUUAUGGAGUUCCUUAAGGGCCAAAUUCAGCUCAAGCACAAGCUCCACUUCCUAUACAAGGGAAUAACGAUGAGCUGUAUGCUCAGAUUGAGGAAGCCAUUCGGAAUACCUUUGGAGUAAGGGCCAGGCCGGCUAUGCGGCCUGUUUUUCGAUCCCCGUAUCCCGCAAACAUAGAUACAGAGCAUCCGUAUCCGGCAAACUGGAAAAUGCCGAAGUUCGACAAGUUCUCGGGCAAUGAGACCGAGAAUACGGUCGAGCAUAUAGUCCGGUUCACGGCCCAAUGUAGAGAAGCGGCGGCUGACUCAUUUUUGAAACUUCGAUUAUUUAACACGUCGUUAACUAAAACGACGUUUACUUGGUAUAUAAGUUUAUCAGCCAAUUCCGUCCAAGAUUGGGACGAAUUGGAAAGAAAAUUUCACGAGCGAUUCUAUAGGUCAGAGCCACAAUUAUCGGUCGCCGACUUGGCUUUGUACAGACAAAAGUCAGGUGAAACGGUCGAAGAGUAUUUGAACCGUUUCAAAAUAGCCAAAAUUCGGUGUUUUAUGAGGAUGCCGGAAUCAAAGUUCGCCAAAAUAGCGUUAAAUGGUCUAUAUUUUAAGAUACAAGACCAUUUUGAAGAUAAGUAUUUUUCUAACAUAUUUGAUCUAAGUGUUAGAGUUGCCCAAUAUGAGCAAUUCCAGAAGAAAAGUGAGGACGAUCGGCUGCUAUGGAGCCGAUAUAAAAAUCAAAGCAAAGGCAAGGAGAAAUCCUUACUAGAAGAACAGUCUGUUCAAAAAGAGCUGAGCCAAUCAAGUGAAAGUGAAGAAUCGGCUGAAGAAGCCGAGGUAUAUAUGGCAGGUAAAGAGCCACUUUCUUCAAGGAGAAAUCCUUGAUAGAAGAACAUUCGGUUCAAGAAAAGCCGAAUCAAUCGAGUAAAAGUAAGAAUCGGCUGAUGGAGCCGAGGUAUAUGCAGCUGGGAUGAUAAAGAGCUGUUUUCUUUAAGCCGACCAAGUCCAACUAAGUUAAAGCUUGGGUCUCGGCUACGCUAUUGAGCAGUCGAUUUGGCACCAAUAGUCAUCCGAAUGUUCAUUCGAAAGACUAUUGAGGGGCAUUGUUGAUGCCAAAUUUGAAAUAAACACGUCGACCUAGCCUACAUAUAAGCCGAAGAAAUAAAGACACGUGGUACACCAGGAGUCAGCAAUAAGGCGCCUGAAGGCCAAGAGUGUUUAGGCGAGAACGGUUGAGAAGUGGAGCGUAACUUCCAUGUGAAGUGGGGCAUAACUUUCAUGUGAAAUGGGACGUAACAUCCAUGAGAAGUGGGGCGUAACUUCCACGAUCAUGGUUAUAACCACUCUCCCAACCAACCAAUAAUGUGGAUUGAUGUUACUAUAAAUAGUAAUUUCAAAGCUUGCAAGAGGGGACUUUCUCCAUCCUGAACGAGAAGACCACCCUUAUUUCCUCUACAUUUUAUCGCUUUUCUAGGAGUAGUCUAAAUGUAGUCUUUUUCUUUUUCACAUUUACUGCUUUCCUAGGAGUAGUUUGCUAAGUAGAACCCCGGAGUCUAUCUGCCCCACGGGCAUCACUCCGUUGUAGACUAUAUUUGCAGAGUCUGUCUGCCCCAUGGGCAUCACUCUGUUGUAAACUAUAUUUGCAGAGUCUGUAUGCCCUUUGGGCACACUCUGUUUAAUUAAUAUAUGUAUUUAGGCAUUCGGCUCUUUCAGCCGACCAGUCAUUAUGUAUUUCAUUUAUUCGACUCUUUCAGCCGACCAAUUAUUGUGUACUUCUUCUAUUUGGCUCUUUUGACGACAUUGAUCCCUGCACAGUUCAUACAUUCGGCUCAUCCAGCCGAACUGAUUCUACAGUAAAGGUUUUCGAACUCGGCUGAUCCGAUCCCUCGUCAGCCGAGUCGCUUGAUCUGUCGAAGGGCACAAACUUUGAGGAUCAUUAUCCGCAACCGUUCCUCACUCCGACGCGCUCCCCGAGAAGGAUCUUUGACUCGGUCAAGGGUCGGAAAAUUCGGCUAUCAACAAUUUUUGGCACGUCCGAUAGAACACCAUUUAAGGUAAUUUUACUUUUUAUUAAGAUAUAAUGGCUGACGAUAAUGCUAUGAACCUCCGAAAUAGAGCCAUUCCCAGGCCUUCAGGGAAUGACCAAAAACGUGGGUUGAUGUUACUAUAAAUAGUAAUUUCAAAGCCUACAAGAUGGGUCUUUCUCCAUUCUGAACGAGAAGACCACCCUUAUUUCCUCUAUAUUUUAUCGCUUUUCUAGGAGUAGUCUAAAUAUAAUUUUUUUCUUUUUCGCAUUUACUGCUUUCCUAGGAGUAGUUCGCUAAGUAGAACCCUGAAGUCUGUCUGCCCCAGGGGCAUCACUCCGUUGUAGACUACAUUUGCAGAGUCUGUCUGCCCCAUGGGCAUCACUCUGUUGUAAACUAUAUUUGCAGAGUCUGUAUGCCCUUUGGGCAUACUUUGUUUAAUUAAUAUAUAUAUUUAGGCAUUCGGCUCUUUCAACCGACCAGUCAUUAUAUAUUUCAUUUAUUCGGCUCUUUCAGCCGACCAGUUAUUGUGUACUUCUUCUAUUCGGCUUUUCUGCCGACAUUGAUCCCUGCACAGUUCAUACAUUCGGCUCAUCCAGCCGAACCGAUUCUACAGUAAAGGUUUUCGAACUCGGCUGAUCCGAUCCCUCGUCAGCCGAAUCACUUGAUCUGUCGAAUG